GCUUACGGCCAUACCACCUGGGCACGCCCGAUCUCGUCUGAUUCGGAAGCUAAGCAGGGUCGGGCUGGUAGUACUGGAUGGGAGACCGCCUGGGAAUACCAGGUGCUGUAAGCU
rnacentral:rRNA from 1 species